rnacentral:rRNA from 1 species
AUGAGAAGUGACCGAGUGCAUCUGUUGUUGGUUUCGUGGGCAGUGACGGCCGUGGAUAGCGGGAAGAGGGCCCUGGAGCUGCUAGGAUCGGAGCCCAAUGUGAGCAUGAUAAUUACGGAUUACUGGAUGCCGGAGAUGACGGGAUACGAGCUCCUAAAGAAGGUCAAGGAGUCAUCCACGUUGAAGCAGAUCCCCGUGGUGAUCAUGUCCUCGGAGAACGUGCCAACCAGGAUCAGCAGAUGCUUGGAGGAAGGCGCAGAGGAUUUCCUGAUGAAGCCCGUCCGGCCGUCGGACGUGUCGCGGGUGUUCAACCGGGUGCUCCCAUGA